rnacentral:rRNA from 1 species
AUUGAACGCUGGCGGCAGGCUUAACACAUGCAAGUCGAGCGGGGAAAGGUAGCUUGCUACCUGACCUAGCGGCGGACGGGUGAGUAAUGCUUAGGAAUCUGCCUAUUAGUGGGGGACAACAUCUCGAAAGGGAUGCUAAUACCGCAUACGUCCUACGGGAGAAAGCAGGGGACCUUCGGGCCUUGCGCUAAUAGAAGAGCCUAAGUCGGAUUAGCUAGUUGGUGGGGUAAAGGCCUACCAAGGCGACGAUCUGUAGCGGGUCUGAGAGGAUGAUCCGCCACACUGGGACUGAGACACGGCCCAGACUCCUACGGGAGGCAGCAGUGGGGAAUAUUGGACAAUGGGGGGAACCCUGAUCCAGCCAUGCCGCGUGUGUGAAGAAGGCCUUUUGGUUGUAAAGCACUUUAAGCGAGGAGGAGGCUACCGAGAUUAAUACUCUUGGAUAGUGGACGUUACUCGCAGAAUAAGCACCGGCUAACUCUGUG